rnacentral:rRNA from 1 species
AGAGUUUGAUCCUGGCUCAGGAUGAACAUUGGUAGUACGCCUAAUGCAUGCAAGUCGAACGGAACAUAGCAAUAUGUUUAGUGGCGAACGGGUGAGUAAUGCUUACCUUACUUACCGAUUAGAGGGGGAUACACUAGGGGAAACCUUAAUUAAUACCGCAUAUGUUACUUCGGUAAUGAAAGGAACUUCGGUUUCACUAAUUGAUAGGGGUAAGUUGUAUUAGCUAGUUGGUAGGGUAAUGGCCUACCAAGGCGAUGAUGCAUAGCCAGCUUUAGCGAGUGAAUGGCCACAUUGGGACUGAGACAAGGCCCAGACUCCUUCGGGAGGCAGCAGCAGGGAAUUUUCCGCAAUGGGGGAAACCCUGACGAAGCGAUACUACGUGAAGGAAGAAGGUCUAUGGAUUGUAAACUUCUGUCAGCACAGAAGAAAAAAGUAAAUGAAAGUUUACUAUUGACCAUGUGCUUAGAAAGUCACGACUAACUACGUGCCAGCAGUCGCGGCAAUACGUAGGUGGCGAAUGUUAUCCGGAAUUAUUGGGCGUAAAGAAUGCGUAGAUUGUGUAAUAAGUCAUUUGUAGAAGUCAGGCUCAACCUGAAAGAAGCUGGUGAUACUGUUAUGCUAGAGUGCAGGAGAGGUUGAUGGAAUUCCAUGUGGAGCGGUGAAAUGCUUAGAUAUAUGGAGGAACACCAAUAAAGGCGAAGGCAGUCAACUAUUCUGAUACUGACAUUGAAGCAUGAAAGCGUGGGGAGCAAAUAGGAUUAGAUACCCUAGUAGUCCACGCCGUAAACGAUGCAAGCUAGAUGUUGGGUUUAAACUCAGUGUCGCUAGCUAACGCGUUAAGUUUGCCGCCUGGAUAGUACGCUCGCAAGAGUGAAACCCAAAGGAAUUGACGGGGACCCGCACAAGCGGUGGAGCAUGUGGUUUAAUUCGAUACAACGCGCAAAACCUUACCGAGGCUUGACAUGGAGUGCAAAACUGCGGAAACGCAGCGGAGGUUAUCACUACACAGAUGGUGCAUGGCCGUCGUCAGUUCGUGCCGUGAGGUGUAUGGUUAAGUCCUAUAACGAACGCAACCCUUGUUUUUAGUUACUACUCGCAAGAGAGGACUCUAAAGAGACUGCCAGUGUAAACUGGAGGAAGGAAAGGACGACGUCUGGUCAUCAUGCCUCUUACGCCUCGGGCUACACACGCGCUACAAUGGCUGCUACAAAGGGUUGCCAACUUGCGAAAGUGAGCUAAUCCCAUAAAAGCAGCCUCAGUUCGGAUUGAAGUCUGCAACUCGACUUCAUGGAGCCGGAAUCGCUAGUAAUCGCGGAUCAGCAGUGCCGCGGUGAAUACGUUCUCGGGUCUUGUACACACCGCCCGUCAAGCCAUGAAAAUAGGUAAUACUUGAAGAUGAUUUAUUAACCCGCAAGGGAGAUGGUUAUUUAGGGUAGGAUCUGUGAUUGGGGCUAAGUCGUAACAAGGUAACC